rnacentral:rRNA from 1 species
AAAAUGACUCUCGGCAACGGAUAUCUCGGCUCUUGCAUCGAUGAAGAACGUAGCGAAAUGCGAUACUUGGUGUGAAUUGCAGAAUCCCGUGAACCAUCGAGUCUUUGAACGCAAGUUGCGCCCAAAGCCAUUAGGCUGAGGGCACGCCUGCCUGGGUGUCAC